GAUGAACGCUAGCGGGAGGCUUAACACAUGCAAGUCGAGGGGCAGCAUAGGGUAGCAAUACUCUGAUGGCGACCGGCAAACGGGUGAGUAACGCGUAUGCAACCUACCCUGUACAGGGGGAUAACCCGGAGAAAUUCGGACUAAUAUCCCGUAAUAAUAUCCGGAGGCAUCUUUGGAUAUUUAAAGUUCCGACGGUACGGGAUGGGCAUGCGUAACAUUAACUGGUUGGUAAGGUAACGGCUUACCAAGGCUAUGAUGUUUAGGGGUCCUGAGAGGGUGGUCCCCCACACUGGUACUGAGACACGGACCAGACUCCUACGGGAGGCAGCAGUGAGGAAUAUUGGUCAAUGGGCGCAAGCCUGAACCAGCCAUCCCGCGUGCAGGAAGACGGCCCUAUGGGUUGUAAACUGCUUUUCCAGGGAGAGAAACUUACGCACGUGUUGCGUGACUGACGGUACCCUGGGAAUAAGCAUCGGCUAACUCCGUGCCAGCAGCCGCGGUAAAACGUCUA
rnacentral:rRNA from 1 species